rnacentral:rRNA from 1 species
CAGAGGGUGCGAGCGUUAAUCGGAAUUACUGGGCGUAAAGCGCACGUAGGUGGUUUUGCAAGUCGAGUGUGAAAGCCCCGGGCUCAACCUGGGAACUGCAUUCGAGACUGCAUUACUCGAGUAUGGGAGAGGGCAGCGGAAUUUCCGGUGUAGCGGUGAAAUGCGUAGAUAUCGGAAGGAACAUCAGUGGCGAAAGCGGCUGCCUGGCCCAAUACUGACACUCAAGUGCGAAAGCGUGGGGAGCAAACAGGAUUAGAUACCCUGGUAGUCCACGCCAUAAACGAUGACAACUGGAUGUCGGGAGGAUUUGCCUCUCGGUGUCGUAGCUAACGCGUCAAGUUGUCCGCCUGGGGAGUACGGCCGCAAGGUUG